CUGCCUGCUGCCCGGCUGGCGAAAUGCAUGCACAGGGAGCCGGGCACCGCACACGAGGUCCCCAGCGCUGCCGGAGCCGCUCAGGAAAAUGAAGCAAUAUUCAUGAGCUGACCUCACCGGGCCGGGGAGAGGGAGGAGAGCAGCGGAGGGAAGAGAAAAGAAAAGAUGAGACGGCGAGGACCCCGCCCAGGCCUGAAGGCUGAUGACUGCUCCUCAGCCAGAGGCUGCUACAUCAUGGCACACUGAGGCUGCACCUUCUGUUCAUCCACGGCCUCAUACCCACAGAGGCCAACACAGGGACAGCGAUGCCAUCUGCACCCCCCCAACAAUUCACCCCAAUGAGAGAAGGAGGUCGUGCUGCUUUUUGUCACUAUGUAAAGGAAGCUGUUGGAUCUGAACCACUGCCUUCAGCCUUCACAUUUCUAAUGGACCUCUCAUUUCCCAGUUUAGGGAGUCUGCUUGUCAUGUGCCGUGUCAUACAGGUCUUGGUCUGUUCAGUCCUUGCAUUCCAACAGCUGGGCAGUUUCUCAGCCUCGCAGGGGUGACCAGGUACAAAAAAUGAAAUUAAGAUUAGAGGAUUCUUCAGAACACCUGGGCAGUUUCUCAGCCUCAUAGGGGUGACCGAGUACAAAAACGAAAUUAAGAUUAGAGGAUUCUUUGGCUUUGUCACUGGGGAAUAAAACUAGGUAAAAUUAGGUCUGUUGUUUAUUAGAACUCAAUUGUAGUCAUAAAAUAAAGGCUCGGUUCUAUUUUUGUUGUCCAACAUUUCAUUCAGGCUUUCUGAAGGCCGCAGGAAGUUUUAUGUCCUGCCUUUUAUUCCUUCAGAAAUCAAUUGUACCUAUUGUUUGGAAAUAAUGACAGAACUGAGCAUGCCUUGAAACAGGUCAGGGCAUCUCAACCAUUCCUAAUGAAAAAAUGACCUCAUGCAGGCUCCCUCUGCCUCUUCUGGACUUGCUAUACUUUCUGCUACCAGAAUGAUUUUUUU